UGAAUCAGAAAAGGAUUAAAACGCUGAACAACAAAUUUCAAUCAAAUAUUUCUGAAUUUAUUUCGUAUACAUCAUAACAAUACAAAUUGCAAGUCAAAAUUGGACUAAGUACAAAAUCAGAGCCUAAUUGCUAAUUGAAUCAAAUUUCUAAAUCAAAUCCAAUUAUAAUUCAAUCAGUUCUCAAAACCCUAAAGAUCCAAUCAAAUCAUAUUACAAUAACAAUCAAAUGCAAAACUUCCUAAAAUAAUCAAUCAGAUUAAUUACAUAAACCUAAUUUCUAACCUAUAAAUAACCUAAGUCUAAAUCAGAAUGAGGAGAAAAAUUAAGAACCCUAAAGUUGCUGCUGCAAUCCAUAAACCCUCACACAAAGCUCCACUGAAUUUUGAUGUUUAAGAUUUUCACAUUGAAACCCUAAUUUAUCUGAGCUUAGCCAAUAUCCAGUUAUACCUCGCAAUCAAAGAAGAAGAGGAGAGAGUUAGAAGAAAUUCAGACCAAAAGUGGAAAAGAAGUCAAAUUAAAAAUAGCUUUACCUUUUGAGCGGAGGAAUUAUCACUCCCGGAGGUUGGCCAUUUAUACCCUUGAUUCCUUCUGUAUCUGUUGAUCUCACAUGUUUUCAUUUUCUUGUUUGCGUCCUAUGUAUGUCUGUUAUUGUUUGUAUAUGAUUUGAAUAUGGUUUGGGGUUAACAAAAUAUGAUUUAGGGGGUUUAGGGUUGGAAUUGUUGGGUUUGAUCUUUGUGUUUGAGAGUUCGAUUUGUGUUCAGAAUGUUAGGAUCUUGGGUUUAGAAUGAGUUUCGGGUGGAUUUAGGGUGGUUUAGGGUAGUUUUAGGGUUUAAGGCGAAGGUUAGGGAUGAAGUUCAUCAUGUUCAUGAUGAACAUAUGAAGGUUCUGGUAGGGUUCAUGUACAUUUUAAUACAAUUUUUGUUUUUAAAAAGACUUAUAUAAAAAUGGAAGGAGUAAUAAUUUACAUAUUUAUUUAUUUUCAACUAUAAAUAUAUUCAUAAAAUUACUAAUAUUAUGUUAUCACAAAUAAGAGGAUGUACUUGCGGUAUUAAAUUAUCCACCACCGUUGGAUGUUAUAUUCUGAUUAUCAUAGCAAAAAUCUAUGGAUGAGAUUGUUUAGAUAGUUUAAUGCAAUAUUCAAAUUAAUAUUAAAAUU
rnacentral:lncRNA from 1 species